ACCUUAGAGACCAACUAAGUUUGUUCUUGGUAUAAGCUUUUGUGUGCAUGCACACUUCUUCGUAUCUGAAGAAGUGUGCAUGUACAUGUAAGCUUAUACCAAGAACAAAUUUAGUUGGUCUCUAAGGU